rnacentral:rRNA from 1 species
CAGUGAGGAAUAUUGCGCAAUGGGGGCAACCCUGACGCAGCAACGCCGCGUGAGUGAGGAAGGUUUUCGGACCGUAAAGCUCUGUCGAGCGGGAAGAAAUGCAUGGUGGCUAAUAUCCAUCAUGCUUGACGGUACCGCUAAAGGAAGCACCGGCUAACUCCGUGCCAGCAGCCGCGGUAAUACGGGGGGUGCGAGCGUUGUUCGGAAUUAUUGGGCGUAAAGAGCGUGUAGGCGGCCGAAUAAGUCAGAUGUGAAAUCCCUGGGCUUAACCCAGGACGUGCAUUUGAAACUAUUCGGCUAGAGUAGGGGAGAGGAAAGUGGAAUUCCUGGUGUAGAGGUGAAAUUCGUAGAUAUCAGGAGGAACACCGGUGGCGAAGGCGACUUUCUGGCCCUAUACUGACGCUGAGACGCGAGAGCGUGGGUAGCAAACAG